AGAGGGUGCAUGAUGCAGCCCCGCACUGGAGCAGGAGCCGAGCAAGAUACGUGCAGUGUGGCGGGCAGUAUUGGCCAAGAUCGGGCCUGAAGUGAACUUUGUGGCUUGAAGAUUCCCGAGCAGCAGCAGUCCUUUUUGAGAAGUGGGAUAAUUUGUUUUUGGCAAUACACUGUUUCUUUUUUCCGCGGGUGAGAAGAAAAAAAAAGUGUGGGAAAAAGCUUUGGAAAUCUUGCAAGACCUCUUGGACAUAGACUAUGUGUUACAAAACAUAUUUUUGACGAGUUAAGUGUUAACCAACCAAAAACAGACAGAUUGUCCUUCCCAUGUUAGCUUCAAAAUGCAGCAGGGGAAGCGACCAUUACUGAACACCCUGUGAAGUUGCCGAACCCUGUCAUUUUCAAAAGCUUGUCAAAAAGCCCAGAGCACAGAGGCCAGAACGGAGUUACUUGUCCCUUUCUGCAGGAUGUGAGUGCAGCCUUCUGGGUGAGCGAGCCGGAGAGAAGAAGAAAGAAAGAAAGAAAAAAGAACAAUACCAAAUCAAAGGACUCCAACUGUCAGUGAAGGGUGGUCCAGAAUAAAACUUUCAAAGGAGAAAAAGAUUCAUUUUAAACCAUAAUGAAUUCUCUUUGUCAUUGAAAAUUCAUCUAAAGACAUAUUCCAUGACUACUUUUGACAGGCAAUGAUCUGAAUAUGUGAUGUGCAGAGACAUUAUUUCUUGUCCUCCAAAAGCUCUUAAGGACUUCGGGAAGAAAUGGAUCUGGAUGUGAUAUGAAGAGCAAGAAGAUGACAGGAUGUGAGGCACAAAUGUGGAGGCUACAAGGAUCCCUGAUUGAAGCAUCUCCUCCCACCCUCACUCCUCAGCACCAACUCUGCAUCACGGAUAACUGCAGGACCCCUCUGGGAGGGUCAGGAAUGCCUCUGAAUGAGUCAUGCUUGAAGACUAAUAGUCUAGUAGAAAAGAGGCCAAAUUAAUGUAGCUCAUUAAAGUACUUUGUCGAAUGCUAAAAUGUGCUACCAACUGAGAAUAUUUUCUCAGAUGCUGCUG
rnacentral:lncRNA from 1 species